rnacentral:rRNA from 1 species
UACAGAGGGGGCAAGCGUUAUUCGGAAUUAUUGGGCGUAAAGGGCGCGUAGGCGGCCUGGCAAGUGGAAGGUGAAAUCCCUCGGCUUAACCGAGGAACUGCCCUCCAAACUGCUUGGCUUGAGACCGGGAGAGGUGAGUGGAAUUCCCGGUGUAGCGGUGAAAUGCGCAGAUAUCGGGAAGAACACCCGUGGCGAAGGCGGUUCUCUGGGACGGUACUGACGCUGAGACGCGAAAGCGUGGGGAGCGAACAGG